rnacentral:misc_RNA from 1 species
GAAAAUCGUUGUGAAUUCUUUCCACCAUUGCUGCACAAAGAAAAUGGUCCAAGCCAAUAAAAUACAUGUGGUCCAGUCACGACCCAAAAAAAAAAAAAAAAUCAUAAAAUCAACAUAGCAACUUAAGAGAGAAAGAAAAAAGAAGGGGCUCAACUUAGGAAACUCAAUAGCCGAAUAAUAAGAUGAUUAAAAAAAAUAAUAAAAAACAAAAAUGGUGCAAGUGUUAUAGAAUAGGAAGCAAAUUUGUGUAUAUUCCUAUAUUGGUUAGCAAAUUUUAGGGAUUGAUUCUUUUCCUAUUUAGGGAUUUGAGUUGUAUAAAUAUAUGUGUAUUAUGAAUGAAUGAAUAAAAAUUAAGGAUUUUUAAUUCAAAAUUAACAUGUUUCAAUAGAGUAGUAAUAGCAAGUCAUUAUUAUUAUGAAAGAUUUUGAGAAUUUCAUUAUAGGUUGUGAAUUGCAGAAUAUUUUCUUAUCUUUUGUGCAAUUUACUUGUUCUAUUUUAUUUGCUAAUAACUGGGAAAUGUCCCAUCACUGGAAGUCCUUUCUAGAACUACUUUUGACCAUUUCGCUUGUAUUUGGAGUCUAAACAAAUAAAAUGUGAUAUACUGCUUUAGAUUUUAGAAUGUGGCUCUCUCAUCAUUCAUUUGGUAUUCAAGAAAUCCUAGAAGUAUAAUUUCCUAUAUCAUAUAUUUUGUUAUGUGCUAAAGGGGCAGUGAAUCUCAUUUUUCAACUCUCUUCAUUGCACUACUUCUUGAAUAUUUGGAAUAGGCUUUUUGGUACUUUUUGAGGAAGUUGGGAAUAUCCGGAGACUUUAUAUGAUUUUCUAAAAAAUGAAGAAUUAUAACUUUUAAGGAAAAGGAAAUAGGCAUACUGAUUAUGGUAUUAUGCUGUAUUGAGAGUAAUGUGGAGAAAAUUGGUCAAAUUCUUAAGAAUUAGUCUUUUGCCUUAGUCAGUUUCUGCUUUAUGGGGUUUAAAAGUAAUGUUUUUAGGAAAUAAUCAAAAUGAUUGGAGGAUGUUACUUUUCCCCCCUAGUUGAUAUGAACUUGUUAUCUUUUGGAUGUUGAGUUGUUCUUAUUUAAAUGUUGUGAUCAAUCAUGUGACUCACAUUUAACCAUGUAGAGUGGGCCUUUUAGAGAAGUUUGUUACAAUAAGAUAACAUGAAAAAGUGAAACAAUUUUUUUCAGCUUAUUUAGAUUGGUGCAUAACAUGAAGAAGUUUGGAUAUGUUAUUUGUGAAUUGUCAUUAGAUCAUGAUUUUCCUCUUGCAAGUGUGGUGCAUAAGGUUUUGCUUUUUUGUGUGUGCAUGCGUGCUGCUUUUAGGUUUUAUUUUCCAUUGGUAUGUUGGAAUUGCCUUUAUUGUCCAUUGUUGUUUUUUUCAUGAUGGUGAUUCUAUGGUUGCUUCAAUCAGGAUGUUUCUGUGCUUGCCAACGUGGACCUUGUUUUGUACAAUCAAACUUUUUCCUCAGCAAAGUUCUCUUACAACUUGGACCGAAUGUCUUUUCACUUCACAAGUUUCUUCAUGUUUUAAUUGCAGGAUUUUAAGUUCAUUAUAUUCAGAAGUUGUGAAAUAAUAUUUUCCCAUCGAAUUCAUUUAGGAUUUCAAAUAAUACACAAACUUUAUAUAUUUAUACACAUAAUUUCCCAUUAGUCACAGUCAGCAAUCUGAGCCAUAAACUGAGAUGAUAAUGAAUAGCUUUCUCUGCAGAAUUGGAUAAUAAGUAUGAACCAAAAAAUUUAAUAUUUAGUGUUGAAAUACGAUUUUGGGCAUCAUUUUCUUUAAAAGCAAAAUAUUUGUCGUAGGUUAUUCUUCGGUGGGGAUUACAAAGAGGAACAAGUGUCCUACCUUGCAGCCUCAAGCCUGAUCGGAUAAGAAAAAAUAUAGAUAUAUUCACUUGGUCUCUAUCAGAUGGAGAGUGGAAUCGCUUGAACCAGAUUGAACCACAGGUAUGUUUAUUUGGAAACGGUCUUUUAAAUAAUCUGUCAGACAGUGGCUUCAUGUUUGGUAGUGGCCCCCUUCAAGUUGUGCGUGAGAUGGAGGAUGAUGUGGAAUCCAAUGCCUGAUAUAUAAUAGUACCUCCUUUAGAUAGUGUGCUCCAUUUUAUGUUAAAAGAUGCCAUGAUUGUUAUAAUUACCCAUUGUUUGUGAGAUUUAGUUUUUGUGGAUGCUGAAUAGGAAAUCAAAGGAGACAUUAUUACUGAUUGAAGAGGAAAUCUUUUUCUUUGUGACUGUAAGUGUUUUAUAUAUCUUUCUGCAAUGAUUUGCUUGGAUGCAAUGUCAAGAAGAUAUAAUAAAAUAAGUGUUUACCUUUCAAGCAAAUUGUUGUUUCUUAUAAAACCAUAAUUUGAAGUGUGAACAAUAAGCAAUUGUAUUUUGACUGUUUCAUUUAAUUUAAAAUGUAUAUAUUCUAAUGCAAGUGUGGAA